CGAGCGGUAGAGAGGUGCUUGCACCUCUUGAGAGCGGCGGACGGGUGAGUAAUGCCUAGGAAUCUGCCUGGUAGUGGGGGAUAACGUCCGGAAACGGACGCUAAUACCGCAUACGUCCUACGGGAGAAAGCAGGGGACCUUCGGGCCUUGCGCUAUCAGAUGAGCCUAGGUCGGAUUAGCUAGUUGGUGAGGUAAAGGCUCACCAAGGCGACGAUCCGUAACUGGUCUGAGAGGAUGAUCAGUCACACUGGAACUGAGACACGGUCCAGACUCCUACGGGAGGCAGCAGUGGGGAAUAUUGGACAAUGGGCGAAAGCCUGAUCCAGCCAUGCCGCGUGUGUGAAGAAGGUCUUCGGAUUGUAAAGCACUUUAAGUUGGGAGGAAGGGUCGUUACCUAAUACGUGACGAUUUUGACGUUACCGACAGAAUAAGCACCGGCUAACUCUGUGCCAGCAGCCGCGGUAAUACAGAGGGUGCAAGCGUUAAUCGGAAUUACUGGGCGUAAAGCGCGCGUAGGUGGUUUGUUAAGUUGAAUGUGAAAUCCCCGGGCUCAACCUGGGAACUGCAUCCAAAACUGGCAAGCUAGAGUAGGGCAGAGGGUGGUGGAAUUUCCUGUGUAGCGGUGAAAUGCGUAGAUAUAGGAAGGAACACCAGUGGCGAAGGCGACCACCUGGGCUCAUACUGACACUGAGGUGCGAAAGCGUGGGGAGCAAACAGGAUUAGAUACCCUGGUAGUCCACGCCGUAAACG
rnacentral:rRNA from 1 species